rnacentral:rRNA from 1 species
UUUCCGGUUGAUCCUGCCGGAGGUUAUUGCUAUCCGGAUUCGACUAAGCCAUGCAAGUCUUGAUGUUCAAUUUAUUGGACAUUAGGGCAGAAAGCUCAGUAACAUGUAGUUAAUAUGCCCUCAAGUCAGGGAUAAUCUCGGGAAACUGAGGCUAAUACCUGAUAGAUAAGAAAUACUGGAAUGUUUUCUUUUCAAAAGCUUUUGCGCUUGAGGAUUGGACUGCACCGGAUUAGGUUGUUGUUAGGGUAACGUCCUGGCAAGCCGAUAAUCCGUACGAGCCUUGAGAGAGGAAGCUCGGAGAUGGAUUCUGAGACAAGAAUCCAGACCCUACGGGGUGCAGCAGGCGCGAAACUUUCCCAAUGCACGCAAGUGUGAGGAAGGGAUCUGGAGUGCAUUCUCUUAUAUAGGGGAUGCUUUUGUGGAGUGUAAACAGCUCCAAGAAUAAGUGGUGGGUAAGACGGGUGCCAGCCGCCGCGGUAAUACCCGCGCCACGAGUGAUAACCACGAUUAUUGGGCUUAAAGCGUUCGUAGCCGGUCCAAAAAGUCUUUAGUGAAAUCCCGCAGCUAACUGUGGGGCUUGCUAGGGAAACUAUUGGACUUGGAACCGGGAGAGGUCUGGGGUACUCAAGGGGUAGGGGUAAAAUCCUGUAAUCCUUUGGGGACCACCUGUGGCGAAGGCGCCAGACCAGAACGGAUUCGACGGUGAGGGACGAAAGCCAGGGGAGCAAAGGGGAUUAGAUACCCCCGUAGUCCUGGCUGUAAACGAUGCCCACUAGACAUUGGCAAUCUUACGUGGGUUGUCAGUGCCGUAGCGAAAGCGUUAAGUGGGCCGCCUGGGGAGUACGGUCGCAAGGCUGAAACUUAAAGGAAUUGGCGGGGGAGCACACAAGGGGUGGAGGCUGCGGUUUAAUUGGAUUCAACGCCGGA